rnacentral:rRNA from 1 species
GAUGAACGCUAGCGGGAGGCCUAACACAUGCAAGCCGAGCGGUAUUGUUUCUUCGGAAAUGAGAGAGCGGCGUACGGGUGCGUAACACGUGUGCAACCUGCCUUUAUCUGGGGGAUAGCCUUUCGAAAGGAAGAUUAAUACUCCAUAAUAUAUUGAACGGCAUCGUUUAAUAUUGAAAGCUCCGGCGGAUAGAGAUGGGCACGCGCAAGAUUAGCUAGUUGGUGAGGUAACGGCUCACCAAGGCGAUGAUCUUUAGGGGGCCUGAGGGGGUGAUCCCCCACACUGGUACUGAGACACGGACCAGAAUACUACGGGAGGCAGCAGUGAGGUAUAUUGGUCAAUGGACGCAAGCCUGAGCCAGCCAUCCCGCGUGAAGGACGACUGCCCUCUGGGUUGUAAACUUCUUUUGUAUAGGGAUAAACCUACCCUCGAGAGGGUAGCUGAAGGUACUAUACGAAUAAGCACCGGCUAACUCCGUG